rnacentral:rRNA from 1 species
UUGAACGCUGGCGGCAUGCCUUACACAUGCCAGUCGAACGGUAACAGGUCUUCGGAUGCUGACGAGUGGCGAACGGGUGAGUAAUACAUCGGAACGUGCCCGAUCGUGGGGGAUAACGAAGCGAAAGCUUUGCUAAUACCGCAUAAGAUCUACGGAUGAAAGCAGGGGACCGCAAGGCCUUGCGCGAACGGAGCGGCCGAUGGCAGAUUAGGUAGUUGGUGGGAUAAAAGCUUACCAAGCCGACGAUCUGUAGCUGGUCUGAGAGGACGACCAGCCACACUGGGACUGAGACACGGCCCAGACUCCUACGGGAGGCAGCAGUGGGGAAUUUUGGACAAUGGGCGAAAGCCUGAUCCAGCCAUGCCGCGUGCAGGAUGAAGGCCUUCGGGUUGUAAACUGCUUUUGUACGGAACGAAAAGACUCUGGUUAAUACCUGGGGUCCAUGACGGUACCGUAAGAAUAAGCACCGGCUAACUACGUG